UUGCGGUGAUGAAAACUCUAAUGAGAAUUUUUGAGAGUUUAAAGCUCUGUGAAACGUCGACUUAUUGUCGAUCUGAGCGGUUACCUGAGCAA
rfam:Helianthus annuus linkage group 17, whole genome shotgun sequence.